rnacentral:rRNA from 1 species
GUGCGCCUUAUGCAUGCAAGUCGAGGGAAGCUUUUCAGUAGUUUACUACAGAAAAUGACUGAGCGGCGAACGGGUGAGUAACGCGUGAGCAAUCUACCUUAGUUACAGGGAUAGCCCGAGGAAACUCGGAUUAAUACCUGAUAUUCUUUAUAUUUCGCAUGAAAUUAAAAGGAAAGGUCAGCCGAACUAAGAUGAGCUCGCGUUCUAUCAGCUAGUUGGUGAGGUAAAAGCUCACCAAGGCUACGACGGAUAGCUGGUAUGAGAGGACGAUCAGCCACACUGGGACUGAGACACGGCCCAGACUCCUACGGGAGGCUGCAGCAGGGAAUAUUGCGCAAUGAGCGAAAGCUUGACGCAGCGACACCGCGUGUGGGAUGACGGAUCUAGGUUUGUAAACCACUUUCAGGAGGGAAGAAAAUGACGGUACCUCCACAAGAAGCCCCGGCCAACUACGUGCC